AUUGAACGCUGGCGGCACGCCUAACACAUGCAAGUCGAGCGGCAGCGAGACUAGUAGCAAUACUAGUUGUCGGCGAGCGGCGGACGGGUGAGUAACACGUAGGAAUCUGCCCUUAAGCGGGGGAUAACCAAGGGAAGCUUUGGCUAAUACCGCAUAAUCUCGAGAGAGCAAAGCUGCCCGCAAGGGUGGCACUUGAGGAGGAGCCUGCGUCCGAUUAGCUAGUUGGUGGGGUAAUGGCCUACCAAGGCGAUGAUCAGUAACUGGUCUGAGAGGACGACCAGUCACACUGGGACUGAGACACGGCCCAGACUCCUACGGGAGGCAGCAGUGGGGAAUAUUGGACAAUGGGGGCAACCCUGAUCCAGCGAUGCCGCGUGAGUGAAGAAGGCCUUCGGGUCGUAAAGCUCUUUAGGUUGGGAAGAAGGGUAUUGGCUGAAUAAUCCAGUACUUUGACGGUACCGACAGAAUAAGCACCGGCAAACUCUGUGCCAGCCGCCGCAGUAAAAC
rnacentral:rRNA from 1 species